rnacentral:rRNA from 1 species
UACGUAGGGUGCAAGCGUUGUUCGGAAUCAUUGGGCGUAAAGCGUGCGUAGGUGGUUUUUUAAGUCCGUGGUGAAAGCCCUGGGCUCAACCUGGGAAUGGCAGUGGAUACUGGAAAGCUAGAGUGCGGUAGAGGGUAGUGGAAUUCCCGGUGUAGCAGUGAAAUGCGUAGAGAUCGGGAGGAACACCAGUGGCGAAGGCGGCUACCUGGACCAGCACUGACACUGAGGCACGAAAGCGUGGGGAGCAAACAGG